rnacentral:rRNA from 1 species
UACGUAGGGGGCAAGCGUUGUCCGGAUUUAUUGGGCGUAAAGAGCUCGUAGGCGGCCUGUUGCGUCCGCUGUGAAAGCCCGGGGCUUAACCCCGGGUCUGCAGUGGAUACGGGCAGGCUAGAGGUAGGUAGGGGAGAAUGGAAUUCCCGGUGUAGCGGUGAAAUGCGCAGAUAUCGGGAGGAACACCGGUGGCGAAAGCGGCUCACUGGACCACAACUGACGCUGAGGCGCGAAAGCUAGGGGAGCAAACAGG